UACGUAGGGUGCAAGCGUUGUCCGGAAUUAUUGGGCGUAAAGAGCUCGUAGGCGGUUCGUCGCGUCGGCUGUGAAAUCCCGGAGCUCAACUCCGGGUCUGCAGUCGAUACGGGCGGACUUGAGUUCGGCAGGGGAGACUGGAAUUCCUGGUGUAGCGGUGAAAUGCGCAGAUAUCAGGAGGAACACCGGUGGCGAAGGCGGGUCUCUGGGCCGAUACUGACGCUGAGGUGCGAAAGCGUGGGGAGCAAACAGG
rnacentral:rRNA from 1 species